rnacentral:rRNA from 1 species
AUUGAACGCUGGCGGCAGGCCUAACACAUGCAAGUCGAGCGGAGCGGCGGACGGGAGAGUAAUGCCUAGGAAUCUGCCUGGUAGUGGGGGAUAACGUCCGGAAACGGGCGCUAAUACCGCAUACUAUCAGAUGAGCCUAGGUCGGAUUGGCUAGUUGGGGGGGGAAAGGCCUACCAAGGCGUCGAUGCGUAACUGGUCUGAGAGGAUGAUCAGUCACACUGGAACUGAGACACGGUCCAGACUCCUACGGGAGGCAGCAGGGGGGAAUAUUGGACAAUGGGCGAAGUCCUGAUCCAGCCAUGCCGCGUGUGUGAAGAAGGCCUUCGGGUUGUAAAGUACUUUCAGCGGGGAGGCGUUACCCGCAGAAGAAGCACCGGCUAACUCCGUGCCAGCAGCCGCGGUAAUUC